CGGCAGUCCGGGGCAGUGGCGAAAGCGUGGCGCCGGAUCGCGCGCUGCCUGCACCUGGCGCUGCGUGGGCUGUGCGCGCUACUCGCCAUUACUCCUUUUCUCCUCCACUCUUACCAUAGCCCCUCUGGUCUGAUGGCAAAUGCACCAGGUGGUUGUAUGCCACUUUACAGCUUUCUGGUCUCAGAGGGAAAGCCUUCUUGCCUGCACCACUGGCCAUGGCUUGUGGUGUAAAUUUAUGGAGAAUACCCUUAAUCAGAUUAGGAAUGUUCCCUUGUAGUACUAUUCUGCUAGAUUUAAAAAAUAGAUAUUGCGGAAGAAAGUCGAAUUUUAUCAAAUGCCCUAUUUACAUUGAGAUGAUUAUUUGAAUUUUCUCUUUUUAUCUACUGGAUAAGUUACAAUGAUUUUCUGAUAUUAAAGUAACCUUGAAUUUUUCAGAUCA